UGCCGUGCCGGUGAUGCGCUCAAUGCCCCAGCCUGGUUAAUUGAGUCCUAACACCGGAACCUGUGGUGUGGCAGGAUCUCCGAGCCCGGGUAGAGACGGGGGACCGUCAGGGGUGCCGGCCGCGGAAGGGCGUGCCCACGGGCCGUGCGGGGACACACCUCCGCGGAGUGAGAGGAAAACCGUUGAUCUUACAAAUGGGGAGAUGUACCCGCGAAGCCCGAAGAAAACAUGAUUUCUGCUCGGAGCCAGGAUGGCCUGCAGAAGAGGUGAGUUGGGCAGCUUGCCUGUGCCAAGGCUGACGUCAUCAAUGGGCGAGUCACAGAGAAUUAUGACAUCUGAAUGCCUGCG